GGCAUAGCGCAGUCUGGUAGCGCGCCUGCUUUGGGAGCAGGAUGUCGGGGGUUCGAAUCCCUCUGCC
rnacentral:tRNA from 1 species